AGUAAGUCUAAUACUUUUCAGUAUAACCAUGACCCCAUGCAGUAGCUCCAUCGACAAUGACACAUAUUGAAAAGGAAAUAGCAACUGAAAUUAUACAAUAAAUAUAUGCUCGUUUUAUAGGCAUUGUGUGGAGUUCGUUGGAGAAUGUUGAAAGGGUAGAGAGUACAGCACAAAAUCCGUUUUGGAUUCCAUACAUCACACUUCUAGACACAGGAGUGCAGUGUGUGAUUUGUGGUAUCAUGUACAUGAUAGAAAGCAAAAGUGUAGCAAAGACAUUGGCACAAAGAGUUCCAUAGGGAAUAAAAUAUUGAGGUGAAUUAAGGAAUCGCGCAAGAUACAAACGUGUCAAGGCAGCAAAAGGAGAGAAUAUUAGACUAAAACCUAUGCCACGAUGUGUCACAUUGGUUGUAUAUGCCGUAUAAAAUGCUGCACCAACAAAAAAACAAAUCGAGAGUAACAAAAGUAAUACCCGCACUACGAUAUGCGUGUGCGCCGGGAUAGGCCAGGCAAAUGCAACUUUGCCAAUUCUCCACUGUCCCGUCGUUUUUCCAAUCUGCUUCCCCCAUAUUAAGCUGGACAUCGCAAUGCACAUAGUUACCAUAAAAUCGGAAACCACACUUAAAAAUGAAUAGCCUCGGCCCCUACGUUCAAAUGGAUCCAAGUUAGCCAUCCCUGUAAACAUUUGCAACAUCCAAGAAGAAAACGUUGUAAGAGAUCCACAAAAACCUGUAGUAAUGGCUAGCAAAAAAGUAGCAUUAUGUUUGGGUCGAGGAAAGAAAACAGACUCUGUCUGACAAAAUCCCAUAAUAACGCAUCCAACAAAUUGAACCCAUAAA
rnacentral:lncRNA from 1 species